GGGUGAGUAACGCGUGGGAACGUACCUUUUGGUUCGGAACAACUGAGGGAAACUUCAGCUAAUACCGGAUAAGCCCUUACGGGGAAAGAUUUAUCGCCGAAAGAUCGGCCCGCGUCUGAUUAGCUAGUUGGUGAGGUAAUGGCUCACCAAGGCGACGAUCAGUAGCUGGUCUGAGAGGAUGAUCAGCCACAUUGGGACUGAGACACGGCCCAAACUCCUACGGGAGGCAGCAGUGGGGAAUAUUGGACAAUGGGCGCAAGCCUGAUCCAGCCAUGCCGCGUGAGUGAUGAAGGCCCUAGGGUUGUAAAGCUCUUUUGUGCGGGAAGAUAAUGACGGUACCGCAAGAAUAAGCCCCGGCUAACUUCGUGCCAGCAGCCGCGGUAAUACGAAGGGGGCUAGCGUUGCUCGGAAUCACUGGGCGUAAAGGGUGCGUAGGCGGGUCUUUAAGUCAGGGGUGAAAUCCUGGAGCUCAACUCCAGAACUGCCUUUGAUACUGAAGAUCUUGAGUUCGGGAGAGGUGAGUGGAACUGCGAGUG
rnacentral:rRNA from 1 species